UCCGGUAUGGUCUACUGGUAUAAUUCUGCACUCUGAAUGAAGGAAUCAGGGUUCAAUUUUCUUUGUUGGGA